GCUUGUGCUUCCCAACACUUUCUUGUGUACUGUCGUGUAGCUCCCAGUUUUUCCACCUAUGUUCCUCAUCAUCACCCACUUUCCUCUUCCAAUUCGCACCUCACCAAAAUUUCCUCCCAAAUAUCUGAGCCUCUGGCUUGACUUGCAACGAUCAUGUCUUCGCACGUCAAAAAUGCUGCUGAUGGAGAUUUAGGGAAAGUGUUGGUUAGUCCCAAAUAAAGCGCCAAUCCAUUGGCAGAGCCGUCGCCCGCACCAUCACCAUCUUCGUCUACUUCCCCAGAUCUUGUUCUAUCGAAUUCAGGGAAGAGGAUCGACCAAGUUGGGAGAAAGAAGUACGUAAAACAGGUGACUGGCCGCCACAAUGAUACGGAGCUGCAUUUGGCAGCUCAAAGGGGUGAUCUCGCAGCUGUGAAGCAGAUACUCGAAGAUAUUCAUUCUCAAAUGGUGGGGAGUUUAAGUGGUUCGGAAUUCGACCAGGAGGUUGCAGAGAUCAGGGCAUCACUCGUAAGUGAGGGAAACGAGCUGGGAGAGACAGCGUUGUUUACUGCAGCAGAGAAGGGGCAUCUUGAUGUUGUUAAAGAGCUGAUCAAAUAUGCAAACAAGGAAACACUUGCCAAGAAGAAUAGGUCGUUGUUUGAUCCUCUGCAUAUAGCUGCAAGUCAAGGACACCAUGGUGAUUACAUAAUCUUCGAUCAAUUCAUACAUCUCCAUUCCAUCUGUUGCCAUUAUGGCUCGCAUUCGAUUGCCUCUCAUUAUGUUUGCCAAGCUACAUGUGGUAACCUAUUAUAACACGAUGGUGUUAAUUGUUUAAGCUCGUAAAUUGUUGAAAUCGGCAGAUUGCAACUCACAGGAGAAGAAUGCAGAGUGCAGAAAUUGAAGUGUGCAUGGAGAAAUCAGCACGCGUCAUGCAUGAACGUGAAGAUUAUAUGCAUGGAUGUGAAGUGAUAAUGUGGAAAAUAUCUACAUCCAGCUGGCGCUUAGCUGGAGUCUAGUCAGCAUGUGUGGAUGGAAGAAGAGUUAGUUAGUUAAGCUACAAAAUGUGUUAGUUUAGCUUAAGUAGUUUAGUAUAAAUAGCUCUUCUCUUAGCUUUGUAAAACAUGUUUUUGAGUGUGAUCAAUAAAGAUCUUCUCUCAAAUUUA